AACGAACGCCGGCGGCACGCCUAACACAUGCAAGUCGCACGAGAAAGUCCCCGCAAGGGGACCGGUAAAGUGGCAGACGGGUGAGUAACGCGUGGGUAACCUACCCUCGAGUGGGGGGAUAACCCCGCGAAAGCGGGGCGUAAUACCGCAUAACAUCCCGGAACGCGAGUUUCGGGAUCGAAGGUGGCUCUCAAGAGCUACCGCUCGGGGAGGGGCUCACGUUCCAUCAGCUAGUUGGUGGGGUAACGGCCUACCAAGGCGGUGACGGAUAGCUGGUCUGAGAGGACGACCAGCCACACUGGCACUGAGACACGGGCCAGACUCCUACGGGAGGCAGCAGUGAGGAAUCUUGCGCAAUGGACGAAAGUCUGACGCAGCGAUGCCGCGUGGGGAUGAAGGCC
rnacentral:rRNA from 1 species